rnacentral:misc_RNA from 1 species
GAGAGUCCUUUCCUUGAAUUCCCCCUUUUCUUAAAAUUUUGCAAAAUCUUUUUUUUAUAAUAAUUUCUUAAAAAACAUGGAUUCGAAGAGCCAAGAGUAAGCUAAACUCUAUGGCCGAUCUUUAUGAGCGAGCUAGGAAAUAGGUUGAUCUUUAUGGAAGAGCCAGGAGCAGGCUAAAUUCUAUAGCCGAACUCUAUGGCCGAUCUCUA